rnacentral:lncRNA from 1 species
AGAUGUGGAGUUGGGGGACAUAAGACUCAAAGAGUCCUAACAAAAUAGUCCUCAUUUUUAUUUCAUCAGAACCCCAGCCUUCUUCAGCAGCAUGGAAGUAUCUGCAGAAAUGGCUUUGCCUGCAUCUUUUUGAGAAUAAGAGAAGCAGAGGAAGGUUAAACAUGCAAAUGAUGCUGCAAAAUUUAUUACUGUAGAUGCAUCUAAAUUCCCAGGCAACUGCUUUAGGGGACACCUGGCUACUCAGAAUCAAAGAAAGUAAGCAUGAAAAGAAACUGGCAGUGUCCCAGUAAACACACUAGUCUUGGGCUCCCUGCCUGAAAGAAAUCAGGCAACAUAGAAAGACGAUUUAAAGGCUCAGUUGCUAACCUCAGCCUGAGGAACCUUGUGUUGGCUGUCCUCACCACGUCUCAAGCUAGGCAUCUCAUGCCACGGAGGAGCCAAUAAAAGACUUCUUCGGAGGACAGUUUUGAACCGGAGAGCCUCCAACAUCUCAGAGAUUCAUGAACACAGUUUCGAAGAACAAUUAGGUUUCCAGGUGGUGACGCACCCUCUUCUUGAACACCUUCAACUGCAGUAAUCCACAAGGGCCAGGGUUGUGACCCAGAAAUUUCAUCAAUAGGAUGUUCUUCCCUCUUCUAGUCCCUUGCAAUCUGUACAUUGAUUAUCUUGAGUAGAAAGGUUGAAUAAACAGAAUGAAGAAUCAUUACAUUAUGCCUACGAAAAUUUUUCAGCUGGUAUGCGACGGCGCAAUCUUGGCUCACAGCAACCUCCGCCUACCAGGUUCAAGUGAUUGUCCUGCCUCAGCCUCCCGACCUCAGGUGAUCUGCCCGACUCAGCCUCCCAAAGUGCUGGGAUUACAGGCGUGAGCCACCAUGCCUGGCCUACUUUCAUUUAACAAUACUUAACACUAGAAAAU